UGACAUCUCAGGUGAACAAAUUCUUCCCACUCUUCUGAGCAACCAUCUCAAAAUAUAAUAAAGAUGCUGCCAAGAAAUGAAGUGCCACAAAAAGAAGAAAAGACAUAAGAAGAUACUGCCACCAGAAAACACUGGGAACAGAAAAAGACACAAAGUAAAUAGAUUGCUGGAGAUGCAGUCUGGCAUGUGCUAUGAAAACAAUCACCAAUUUCUGCACUUGAUUAGUCUGCCCGUCGCCUCAGCCAUUGUCAGCCACAUUGCGUUAUUCGAAAAUGCAUUGCAAUGUAUUUAGAGUUAUGAAGUCUUAGAGUUUGUACUUGAUUCUGUAAAUAAAUUAUUAUUAUGGCUAUUAAAACUUUUUAAAAGCAAA